AUUGAACGCUGGCGGCAGGCUUAACACAUGCAAGUCGAGCGGGGGAAGGUAGCUUGCUACCGGACCUAGCGGCGGACGGGUGAGUAAUGCUUAGGAAUCUGCCUAUUAGUGGGGGACAAGAUCUCGAAAGGGAUGCUAAUACAGCAUACGUCCUACGGGAGAAAGCAGGGGAUCUUCGGACCUUGCGCUAAUAGAGUAGCCGAAGUCGGAUUAGCUAGUUGGUGGGGUAAAGGCCUAACAAGGCGACGAUCUGUAGCGGGUCUGAGGGGAUGAUCCGCCACACUGGGACUGAGACACGGCCCAGACUCCUACGGGAGGCAGCAGUGGGGAAUAUUGGACAAUGGGGGGAACCCUGAUCCAGCCAUGCCGCGUGUGUGAAGAAGGCCUUAUGGUUGUAAAGCACUUUAAGCGAGGAGGAGGCUCUUUUGGUUAAUACCCAAGAUGAGUGGACGUUACUCGCAGAAUAAGCACCGGCUAACUCUGUGCCAGCCGCCGCAGUAA
rnacentral:rRNA from 1 species